rnacentral:rRNA from 1 species
AGAGUUGAUCCUGGCUCAGAACGAACGCUGGCGGCGUGGCUAAGACAUGCAAGUCGUACGGAUCAUUUUUUUGGGUAACUAAGGAGAUGAUUAGUGGCGAACGGGUGAGUAAUACAUAGGUAACGUGCCUUUAGCACCGGGAUAACUGCGGUAGUAAUACCUUUAGCGAAAGCGCAGAUAAUACCGGAUGAUAUCUUCGAGACGUAUGUUUUGAAGAUCAAAGGGCUUCGGCUGGCUUUAGAGCGGCCUAUGUCGUUUCAGCUAGUUGGUGAGGUAACGGCCCACCAAGGCGAUGACGCGUAGCGGGACUGAGAGGUUGGCCCGCCACAUCGGGACUGAGACACUGCCCGGACCUCCACGGAGGGCUGCAGUAACGAAUCUUGCGCAAUGGGCGAAAGCCUGACGCAGCGACGCCGCGUGUAGGAUGAAGUCCCUCGGGAUGUAAACUACUGUCAGGGUGAAGAAAGGUAGCUUCGGCUAUUUGAUCGAUCCCAGAGGAAGGCCCGGCUAACUUCGUGCCAGCAGCCGCGGUAAUACGAAGGGGCCAAGCGUUGUUCGGAAUCACUGGGCUUAAAGCGCACGUAUGCGGAAAUCUAAGUGCUUUGUGAAAUCCCCCGGCUCAACCGGGGAAUUGCAGGGCAUACUGGUUUUCUUGAGGCAAUCAGGGGUAUGUAGAACUCUAGGUGGAGCGGUGAAAUGCGUAGAUAUCUAGAGGAAUGCCAGCGGAGAAAUCGGCAUACUGGGAUUGUACUGACGCUGAGGUGCGAAAGCGUGGGGAGUGAACGGGAUUAGAUACCCCGGUAAUCCACGCCGUAAACGAUGUCUACUAGGUCGUGGCAGGUCUGACCCUGUCGCGGCCGCAGCAAAAGUGUUAAGUAGACCGCCUGGGGAGUACGGUCGCAAGGCUAAAACUCAAAGGAAUUGACGGGGGCUCACACAAGCGGUGGAGCAUGUGGCUUAAUUCGAAGCAACGCGAAGAACCUUAUCCUGGGUUUGACAUGUAUGGAUGGCUUUUUCUGAAAGGUUAAAGUCUGCCUUCGGGUGAAACAUACACAGGUGCUGCAUGGCUGUCGUCAGCUCGUGUCGUGAGAUGUCGGGUUAAGUCCCUUAACGAGCGAAACCCUUGUCUCUAGUUGCCAGCGCGUCAUGGCGGGGACUCUAAAGAGACUGCCGGUGUUAAACCGGAGGAAGGUGGGGAUGACGUCAAGUCCUCAUGGCCUUUAUGCCCAGGGCUGCACACGUGCUACAAUGGCGAUGACAAACCGAUGCAAGACCGUGAGGUGGAGCAAAUCGGAAAAACAUCGCCCCAGUUCGGAUUGCAGUCUGCAACUCGCCUGCAUGAAGUUGGAAUCGCUAGUAAUCGCGGAUCAGCUAUGCCGCGGUGAAUGUGUUCCUGAGCCUUGUACACACCGCCCGUCAAGUCAUGGGAGCCGGGAGUACCUGAAGUCGGGUAGUUAACCGCAGGGAGACGCCUGCCAAUGGUAAGCUCGGUGACUGGGGCUAAGUCGUAACAAGGUA